rnacentral:rRNA from 1 species
UGGGGAAUAUUGGACAAUGGGGGAAACCCUGAUCCAGCCAUGCCGCGUGAGUGAUGAAGGCCUUAGGGUUGUAAAGCUCUUUUACCAGGGAAGAUGAUGACGGUACCUGGAGAAUAAGCACCGGCUAACUUCGUGCCAGCAGCCGCGGUAAUACGAAGGGUGCUAGCGUUGUUCGGAAUCACUGGGCGUAAAGCGCGCGUAGGCGGCUUUCCAAGUCAGGGGUGAAAUCCUGGGGCUUAACCCCAGAAUUGCCUUUGAAACUGGAGAGCUAGAGUACUGGAGGGGUUGGCGGAAUUCCUAAUGUAGAGGUGAAAUUCGUAGAUAUUAGGAGGAACACCGGUGGCGAAGGCGGCCAACUGGACAGUAACUGACGCUCUGGCGCGAAAGCGCGGGGAUCAAACAG